ensembl:lncRNA
UCCCCGUGGCGAGGGAUUUGGACUGAAGCCUGCAGCUGCUUAGCACAGAUGCUGACGAGGCCUCACCUAGGCUUUCCUGCCCACCUGCAGCCGUCAGCUUCCCUCUAACUCUGCAGAUUGACUGCACGCCUUUUUCUCCACUGCCCCUCCAAACCCACUAAGAUAGCCAUAAGGGAAUAAAGUAAGAGGAAGCAACUGGGAGAGCAAAUGCAAAAAAUGUCAACAAAAUUUUGAAAGAUGUAAGGUGUUUGAACAAAGGGCAUCUAAUUUAGUUUUAGCUUUAGCCAUUCUGCUAAGCGUCUACACCUGAAGAAGCCAACAAAACGUAAAUUGAAUCCACCAUGGGUCCUCAAAAGGCAGAGGAUCUGGAAGCACCAGACAUCUCUGAAUCCAGGGGUCAGGAUGGGGCUGAGAAGAAGAGGAUUCACUCGUAAGUCUGUAUAAGAAGGAUCUAGACCCCCAGAUUUUCUCCCUUGCCCCACACAGCCAGGCGCCAUAGCUCCUCUACCAUCCAGCAGAUGACACAUUUGCUAUCUAAAGAGGGUGAACCAGAGAGAUUCUGACCCAGGGGACAUGAAGCAUGGCAGAAGGCAGAAGACAAAGACAUCCUGAAAAGAGUAAGGCUCCCAGAAGUCACAUAUGACAGGCCCCCGCUCCCCACCCGACCCGCUGAGACAAUGCCCCACCACACUGCCUUCUCUGCAGGGCGACCGCAAUGCAGACUCGAGGCAACCGUCAUUCCAAGGACUGCCAUGUGAGUGGUGCUUCCUGAAGCUGUGCACUGAGGUGGCCCUGGAGGAACCGGCUAGCUCCUGCCCACCCUCUUCCCAUCUCAGCCCUUGCAGCUCUGUUUCUAGCAGGAGGAAGAGGAGUGAAAUCAUUCAUGCCAGCUGUGAUUCCGACUUACAUCUCACUGAGCAGGACUGUGUCAUGUGACUGCAUCUGCCAACAAGCGGGGAAACUCUAGACGUCAGAAGUGAGGUGAUCACUGUUUGUGUUGGCCCUGUUGGCAGCAGCAGAACUUUGCAAAUGGUUAAUGAUGGUGGUUGGAUAUGAUGUCAUCAGACGUUUCCAAAAGAAAAGCAGUUCGGCCCUGUAAUGGCUCUUUUUUGUUGUUGUUUCACACAAUUCAUGGAAUCCAUGUAAAGUUUUUGGAGGUUCAUUUUACUAAAGGAAAAAUGUAAAUACGAUUUUUGGAGGAGCACUUCACCAUGCAAAAAAUAAUACCCUUACCCUUAAUAUUGUUAAGAAGCCAAAUGGUCUUGGCAAUGACUUCUUGGAUAUGACACCAAAAGCACAGGCAACAGAAGCAAAAACAGACAAGUGGGACCACAGUAAAUUAAAAGGUUCUGCACAGCAAAGAAAACAACCCAUAGAGAGAAAAGGCAACCUACAGAAUGGGGUAAAAUAUUUGUAAACCAAAUAUCUGAUAAGGGAUUAAUAUCCAAAGUUAUAAGGAACUGUUACAACUCAAAAGUAAAAAAGCAAGUAACCCAAUUAAAAAAUGGGCAAAGGACUUGAAUAGACAUUUCUCCAAAGAAGACGUACAAAUGGCCAACAGGUCUAUAAAAAGAUGCUCAACAUUGCUAAUCAUCAGGGAAAUGCAAAUCAAAACCACAAUGAGAUAUCACCUCACACCUGUUGGAAUGGCCAUUAUAAAACAAACGAACAGAAACUAACCGGCGUUGCAAGAAUAUAGAGGAAGUGGAAGCCUUAUGCACCAUUAGUGGAAAUGUAAGAUGGUGCAGACACUAUGGAAACAGCAUGGAGGGUCUUCAAAAAGUUAAAAAUAGAACUGCCACAUAAUCCAGCAAUCCUACCUCUGGGUGUUUAUCCACAAGGAUUAAAAAUGGGAUCUCGAAGAGAUAUUUGCAUUCCCACAUUCAUUAAAGCAUUAUUCACAAUAUCCAAGAGGUGGAAAAAACUCAAAUGUUCAUUCACAGAUGAAUGGAUAAAUAAAAUGUAGUAUACAUACGUAACAGAAUGUUAUUCAGCCUUGAAAAAAGAAGGAAAUCCUGCCACAUGUGACAACAUGGAUGAACUUCGAGGACAUUAUGCUAAAUGAAAUAAGCCAGUCACAGAAGGGCGAAUACUCUAUGAUUCUACUCGUAUGAAGUAUCUAAAGGAGGCAACCUCACAGAAGAAGGAAAUACAAUAGUGGUGACUAGGGGCUGGGGGCGGGGUGAAGAGUAGUUAUUCAAUGGGUGUAAUGUUUCAGUCAUGCAACAGCAAGUUCUAGAGGUCUGCUGUACGACAACAUUCAUGCAGUUCAUAGUACAGUACAGUUAAAAAUUUCUUAAGAGGAUAGAUUUCAUGUUUGGUUUUUUUUUACCAAAAUUUUAUGAAAAGAAGCCGAGUGGACAAAAACAUAUUUGAAAUUGUUCGUGGCAUACACAUAAUUUUUUUUCCUUUUUCUCCCCAAAGCCCCCCAGUACAUAGUUGUAUAUUCUUUGUUGUGGGUCCUUCUAGUUGCAGCAUGUGGGACGCUGUCUCAGAGUGGCUUGAUGAGCAGUGCCAUGUCUGCGCCCAGGAUUCGAACCAACAAAACACUGGGCCGCCUACAGCAGAGCGCACGAACUUAACCGCUCGGCCACGGGGUCAGCCCCAUACACAUAAUUUUUAAUUUCAUCCAAUCAAGUUGUGAUAGUCUUCAAUUCAACAGAAGAGGUUGUUGACAUAAUUU